rnacentral:rRNA from 1 species
AUUGAACGCUGGCGGAAUGCUUUACACAUGCAAGUCGAGCGGCAGCGCGGUCUUCGGACUGGCGGCGAGCGGCGAACGGGUGAGUAAUACAUCGGAACAUGCCCAGUCGUGGGGGAUAACACUUCGAAAGAAGUGCUAAUACCGCAUACGUCCUGAGGGAGAAAGCGGGGGAUCGCAAGACCUCGCGCGAUUGGAGUGGCCGAUGUCAGAUUAGCUAGUUGGUGGGGUAAAGGCCUACCAAGGCAACGAUCUGUAGCUGGUCUGAGAGGAUGAUCAGCCACACUGGGACUGAGACACGGCCCAGACUCCUACGGGAGGCAGCAGUGGGGAAUUUUGGACAAUGGGGGCAACCCUGAUCCAGCCAUUCCGCGUGAGUGAAGAAGGCCUUCGGGUUGUAAAGCUCUUUCGGCAGGAACGAAACGGUGAGCUCUAACAUAGCUUGCUAAUGACGGUACCUGAAGAAGAAGCACCGGCUAACUACGUGCCAGCCGCCGCCGUAACAC